AGAGUUUGAUCCUGGCUCAGGAUGAACGCUAGCUACAGGCUUAACACAUGCAAGUCGAGGGGCAGCAUGAAUCAAGCUUGCUUGAUUCGAUGGCGACCGGCGCACGGGUGCGUAACGCGUAUCCAAUCUACCCAUGGCUCAGGGAUAGCCUUGCGAAAGUAAGAUUAAUACCUGAUGGUCUCGCUUGGGGACAUCCCCUUGCGAGUAAAGAUUCAUCGGCGAUGGAUGGGGAUGCGUCCGAUUAGCUUGUUGGCGGGGUAACGGCCCACCAAGGCAACGAUCGGUAGGGGUUCUGAGAGGAAGGUCCCCCACACUGGAACUGAGACACGGUCCAGACUCCUACGGGAGGCAGCAGUGAGGAAUAUUGGUCAACGGUCGAGAGACUGAACCAGCCAAGUAGCGUGAGGGAUGACUGCCCUAUGGGUUGUAAACCUCUUUUGUUUGGGAAUAAAGUGCGGUACGCGUACCGCUUUGUAUGUACCUUACGAAUAAGCAUCGGCUAAUUCCGUGCCAGCAGCCGCGGUAAUACGGAAGAUGCGGGCGUUAUCCGGAUUUAUUGGGUUUAAAGGGAGCGUAGGCGGGCUUUUAAGCCAGCGGUCAAAUGUCGGCGCCCAACGCCGGAAAGCCGUUGGAACUGGGAGUCUUGAAUGCGGUCAAGGGAGGUGGAACUCGCCAUGUAGCGGUGAAAUGCUUAGAUAUGGCGAAGAACCCCGAUUGCGAAGGCAGCCUCCUGGCCCGUGAUUGACGCUGAGGCUCGAAAGCGCGGGUAUCGAACAGGAUUAGAUACCCUGGUAGUCCGCGCCGUAAACGAUGGGUACUCGUCUUUGGCGAUACAUUGUCAGAGACUGAGCGAAAGCAUUAAGUAUCCCACCUGGGGAGUACGCCGGCAACGGUGAAACUCAAAGGAAUUGACGGGGGCCCGCACAAGCGGAGGAACAUGUGGUUUAAUUCGA
rnacentral:rRNA from 1 species